GAAAUGCGAUAAGUAAUGUGAAUUGCAGAAUUCCGUGAAUCAUCGAAUCUUUGAACGCACAUUGCGCCCUCUGGCAUUCCGGGGGGCAUGCCUGUUCGAGCGUCAUUUGUACCUUCAAGCUUUGCUUGGUGUUGGGUGUUUGUCUCGCCUCUGCGUGUAGACUCGCCUCAAAACAAUUGGCAGCCGGCGUAUUGAUUUCGGAGCGCAGUACAUCUCGCGCUUUGCACUCAUAACGACGACGUCCAAAAGUACAUUUUUACACUCUUGACCUCGGAUCAGGUAGGGAUACCCGCUGAACUUAAGC
rnacentral:misc_RNA from 1 species